ACCUUUGCAAGAAUGGAGUCGGGAUAAGAAUUGCGGCGCUGGAGAAAGGUGACAAUGACGCUAUUUUCACCAUGAAGAAUGUUACAAGAGAAGACUCAGGCAACUACAGCUGUGUGUACACCAGAGAUAAAUCUGUAACCAGUCAGGUGAAGUCAACAGGAGAGAAUUUACUAGUCUUUCAGGUUGAUGGAGAACGGAAAGAGGGACUAAAUAAUGUUGGAGGACAAGUGGGAGCAGGACUUGGAGCAGGACUGGCAGCAGCCUUGGUCCUCCUGUUUCUGACUCUGUCUGUACUUCUGUUACUGUGGAGGUACUGGGGAAUCCUGAAACUAAUGAUAAGCAUUGACCAUCAACCAAGUGAGAAUCAGGAUACGGAUCAAACAUACAGUCUAAUCUCAGUUGUACCAGUCGCAGCUGGUGUAAUUAGUGAGGUCCCCCUUGAUGGUGAUGAAGGACCCUAUUCUAUUAUAGGUGACUGGAGAGAUACAGUUUGUCUAAUCAUUACACUACUAAUAAUAACCUAGCAGAGAAAACCCUUUGUUUAUGAUAUACUGUAUCUGACUAUUAAAAAAACAUUUCUAAUACAGGGCUGGAAUYGUCAGGGAGACUAAGGAAGAAUCCUGAGCCCUUGGGUUCACAAGGUGUGUCAGGCACGGGAUCGGUUGUUCAUCACUCUCCAACUGAGCCUACAGGAGAUGAGGCACUGUACAGUGUAAUAGCUAGAGUGAAAAGACCAGAACAGCAGGGUGAAACUGCCAUCUAUGCCAAAGUGACCAAAACAAAGAAGAAGAAAGAAAAACAGGACCCUGUUUACAGUCUGCCAAUGAAAACAUAAACAGAGAGGACACCAUGAUACUAUAUACUGUGUCAUUACAAAUACAGUAGUGCUAUACAGUAGUGAUAUACAGUAGUAUAUGACAUGCGAAAUUACAUGACAGAACAUGUGGUUUAUCUGCCAUUUUGGUCAUAGAAGUCUGGGGAUAUUAAUACUGUACACCUAGGUGUAUGCCAAGAUGUGUUUUUUUAAAUACUGCUUUGGUUUUGAACAUAUUACUCUGCGUUUGAUGCAGUCUGCAGUCUGGGUGCUAUCUUUGAGCCUAGCAAAGAUGUAGAUGACUUUAYUCCACCUUUUAUUCAAUAAAAACAAA